CCGUUGACGCGCCAAGGAACGACGGCCGCCUUUUUAAUGCUGGAAUCGAUGUGUGUCGUGCGUUUGUUCACCUCAAGUAAAUAAGUAGACCUGGAAAGCUCUAGAGCCGUGUGUGUCACUUAGACUUUGUACUAACGAUUGCAAGGAAUAUUUAGAGCCUUUGACGACCUACCUCUGCGAUUUUCUUUCUACAACGUGCCAACAAUAACCCGUCGCAUGGAGGCCAU
rnacentral:lncRNA from 1 species